rnacentral:rRNA from 1 species
UGCGUAGGCGGCUUUUUAAGUCGGAUGUGAAAUCCCCGAGCUUAACUUGGGAAUUGCAUUCGAUACUGGGAAGCUAGAGUAUGGGAGAGGAUGGUAGAAUUCCAGGUGUAGCGGUGAGAUGCGUAGAGAUCUGGAGGAAUACCGAUGGCGAAGGCAGCCAUCUGGCCUAAUACUGACGCUCAUAUGCGAAAGCGUGGGGAUCAAACAGGAUUAGAUACCCGCGUA